rnacentral:rRNA from 1 species
CCUACGGGAGGCAGCAGUGGGGAAUAUUGCACAAUGGGCGAAAGCCUGAUGCAGCAACGCCGCGUGAGCGAUGAAGGCCUUCGGGUCGUAAAGCUCUGUCCUCAAGGACGAUAAUGACGGUACUUGAGGAGGAAGCCCCGGCUAACUACGUGCCAGAAGCCGCCGUAAUACGUAGGGGGCUAGGGGUAUCCGGAUUUACUGGGCGAAAAGGGUGCGGGGGUGGUUUCUAAAGUCAGAGGUGAAAGGCUAGGGCUCAACCGUAGUAAGCCUUUGAAACUGGGAAACUUGAGUGCAGGAGAGGAGAGUGGAAUUCCUAGUGUAGCGGUGAAAUGCGUAGAUAUUAGGAGGAACACCAGUUGCGAAGGCGGCUCUCUGGACUGUAACUGACACUGAGGCACGAAAGCGUGGGGAGCAAACAGGAUUAGAUACCCUUGUAGUC